GCCUGUAGCACCACAGAGGACGGAGAUGAGCCUUUGCUCUGCCCAACUGGUUAUGAGUGCCACAUUAUCAACCCGGGAAACCCAUCAGCUGGGAUCCCAAACCGAGGCCAGUGCAUCAAACAGCGUGGAAACUCAGAUGGACGUAGCAUGAGACACAAGUCCUUCAAAGAUUACAAGGAUUAUUUAGGAAGUAACUCCAACAAUGCAGUGAUCUAUGAGAAACUUCAGCACAAGCAUUUGGGCUGAGACGAAGGUUCCAUUUUGGAGGACUGAAGUAACCAGUAACCACUGACCCUUAUACCUGAACCCCAACCAUCAAAUCCAACAGAACUGCACAAGCCUUUCUCUUCAGCUUAAAUCAGCGAUCGGUUCAGAUCUGGUGCUCUUUUUCUGGUGCUUAAGGUGGAGUGACAGAAAUGCAAAGCUAAAAUUCCCUACCUCUGAUGAAAGCCAAAAACAGACCACAGAAGUAUCAAAGAAUAUGCCUACUUUGGGUAAAAAGCAGAAUUAACUAAGUGAGUUGUGUUAAAGGAAGAUAUUUUGUGUGGUUUUUAUGCUGCUGAGUCUGAACUUUUUUUCCACUUUAAACACCAAAAACAGCUAUGUAUGCUAAAUGCUCAGUUACUGUGUGGAUUUAAAGUUUGGUACAGAAAUGCUCCAUAAAGACUUAAAUUACUUACAACACAAUUAUGUUUCUCCUUUAAAGUGUUUUAUUUUUUUCAAAAAUCAUGUGUUUAUAGGUGCUUGCCUCAACUAGUUUAAAAUGACCAAGCAACAGUUAAAUCCCGUCUGUGCUCUAUCACUGCAAGCUAUUUGUUUUUCAUAUGAUAUCAAUAACUGUGGUUGUUGUUGUUUACUCAUUGUGCAGGUCUAUGUUUUACUCUACUGCUCUCUGAUAAGCUAUACAAAUCUGACGAGUGGGACAAACCACAAUACAGCUUUCAGUAAAACAAAACAUUUGAAACUGGUGCUGCAUAUACUGCCUUGUAAUUCCAAAUAAAACAUUUGAUAAAAUAUA